GAACGACGCUGGCGGCGUGCCUAACACAUGCAAGUCGAACGGAGGUACUUUUGAAGCUUGCGAUAAAGUAUCUUAGUGGCGGACGGGUGAGUAACGCGUGGGUAAUCUGCCCAUAAGUGGGGAACAACAGUUGGAAACGACUGCUAAUACCGCAUAAUCUGCCGUUAGGGUAGGAAAGGUGGCCUCUUAACAAUGCUGCCGCUUAUGGAUGACGCCCGCGUCUGAUUAGCUAGUUGGUGGGGUAAAGGCCUACCAAGGCGACGAUCAGUAGCCGGCCUGAGAGGGUGAACGGCCACACUGGGACUGAGACACGGCCCAGACUCCUACGGGGGGCAGCAGUGGGGGAUCUUGCACAAUGGGCGAAAGCCUGAUGCAGCGACGCCGCGUGAGGGAUGAAGGCCUUCGGGUUGUAAACCUCUUUCAGUAGGGAAGAAGCGCAAGUGACGGUACCUACAGAAGAAGCACCGGCUAACUACGUG
rnacentral:rRNA from 1 species